AGGACCAUCUGCUAAGGCUAAAUACUACCUGGCGACCGAUAGUGAAACAGUACCGUGAGGGAAAGGUGAAAAGCACCCCGGAAGGGGAGUGAAAGAGAUCCUGAAACCGUGUGCCUACAAGUAGGCAGAGCCCGUUAACGGGUGAUGGCGUGCCUUUUGUAGAAUGAACCGGCGAGUUACGUUUAACAUGCAAGGUUAAGUCGAGAAGACGGAGCCGCAGCGAAAGCGAGUCUGAAUAGGGCGAAUGAGUAUGUGGUCGUAGACCCGAAACCAGGUGAUCUACCCAUGUCCAGGGUGAAGUCCAGGUAACACUGGAUGGAGGCCCGAACCCACGCACGUUGAAAAGUGCGGGGAUGAGGUGUGGGUAGGGGUGAAAUGCCAAUCGAACCUGGAGGUAGCUGGUUCUCUCCGAAAUAGCUUUAGGGCUAGCCUCAAGGUAAGAGUCUUGGAGGUAGAGCACUGAUUGGGUGCGGGGUCCGCAAGGAUUACCAAGCUCAGUCAAACUCCGAAUGCCAUAUACUUAUUGCCGGGAGUCAGACAGUGAGUGCUAAG
rnacentral:rRNA from 1 species